UUCCACACAGUCUAGCUGGCAAUGGGGUCAGGAGACGUUUUGCUACUUCACAUCUUUUGGUCACUGGUAAAUAUUCAGUUUCCUCAGGUUAGAAGGGAGAGAAAUGCACACACAUGAUCCACCAGUCCAUGUGGGAUUCCCUCUGCCCUUCUGGCAUCUGAAGGCUGUGAUUCAAAGAUCCCCCCUGCAACCUUCCCACAAAUGAACCAACUGAUUCUCACAACCGAAGGGAGAAUGGACACCUCCCAUUGAGGGAC
rnacentral:lncRNA from 1 species